rnacentral:rRNA from 1 species
GCUAACGACGGAGCAGCAGGCGGAGUGAUGAGUAGGGGGCUAGCGUGUGCCGGAAUGAUUGGGCGGAAAGAGCGUGUAGGCGGCCCGGGAAGUCCGCGGGGGAAGUCGGGGGCUCAAACCGCGAAUGCCGGUGGGUACUGUCGGGCUAGAGUGCGGAAGAGGCGAGUGGAAUUCCUGGUGUAGCGGUGAAAUGCGCAGAUAUCAGGAGGAACACCGAUUGCGAAGGCAGCUCGCUGGGACGUAACUGACGCUGAGACGCGAAAGCGUGGGGAGCAAACAGGAUUAGAUACCCGGGUAGUC